UCUGCUUUUAAAGAUAUACACCCUCCCACUAGGGUUUCUUGGCAUCAUCUAUAUGUUUUCCUAUUAGUUACAGACAUUUUGAGCUUUCAUGGUAUCCUAGCGAUCACCCCUCUUGUCUUACAGAUGAGGAAAUAGAUGUCUAGAGAGGUAACUGGCUUGUCAAUAAUUAUGUAGUUAAUUUGUGACUAAGUAGGGACUUGAAACCAGUUUUUCAGAUUUCUAGUUCAGCUUUUGUUCUACUUCCACAAACUGCCAACUAAUUUACCAAGCCAAGAGAAUAAAAGCCAUUCUCAUUCAUCUCAAACUAAAGAAAAAUAUGGAAAAGAAGAAAUAGAGUUUUCAAAGUAUUGAGUUUCACUGAGCAAAAGGGGAAGAUUUGGAGCCAUGUGGAGGAAAGAGGCAGAGAGGCAACAAAAGCAAAUAUCGAAAAGGAGUAGACCAGUUGGAAUUUAUAAUCUUCCUUCUGAACUAAGAGGUACUUCUUCAUAACCCUAAGGGGCUUGGGUUCUGGGCCUGGGCUCCCAAAUCCCUCUGUGUGUAAAUAAAAAACGAUGCUUAAAGCAGA